GUAGGGAAUAUUAGAAAUGGACGAAAGUCUGAUCUAGCAACACCGCGUGUGCGAAGAAGGCCUUCGGGUCGUAAAGCACUUUUUGGAAGGAAUAGGAAGGAAUGUACUUCCAGAAUAAGUCUCGGCUAACUACGUGCCAGCAGCCGCGGUAACACGUAGGAGGCGAACGUUAUCCGGAUUUACUGGGCGUAAAGCGCGUGUAGGUGGUACUGUAAGUAGGGCGUGAAAGCUCCUGGCUCAACUGGGAGAGGCCGUUCUAAACUACAGAACUAGAGGAUGGUAGAGGGAGGUGGAAUUCCAGGUGUAGCGGUGGAAUGCGCAGAUAUCUGGAGGAACACCGGUGGCGAAGGCGGCCUCCUGGACCAUUCCUGACACUCAGACGCGAAAGCUAGGGUAGCAAAUGG
rnacentral:rRNA from 1 species